AGUGGCGCACGGGUGAGUAACGCGUGGGUAACCAGCCUCUGAAUCUGGAAUAACUUCGCGAAAGCGUUGCUAAUACCGGAUGUAGUCCCUAGGACCAUGGUCUCGGGGAUGAAAGGUGACCUCUUCAUGAAAGUUGCCGUUCAGGGACGGGCCCGCGUACCAUUAGCUUGUUGGUAGGGUAAUGGCCUACCAAGGCAACGAUGGUUAGCUGGUCUAAGAGGAUGGCCAGCCACACUGGCACUGAAACACGGGCCAGACUCCUACGGGAGGCAGCAGUGAGGAAUUUUGCGCAAUGGGGGCAACCCUGACGCAGCAACGCCGCGUGAGUGAAGAAGGCCUUCGGGUUGUAAAGCUCUGUCUAGUGGGAAAAAACUCCUGGUGUGAAUAGCAUCAGGAUCUGAUGGUACCGCUGGAGGACGCACCGGCUAACUCCGGUGCCAACAGCCGCGGUACUACGGAAGGUGCAGCGUUGUACGGACUUAUUGGGCGUAACGGGCGUGUAGGCGGUUUGGUAAGUCCGAUGUCACAGCCUGGGCUCAACCCAGGAAGUGCAUUUGAAACUGCCAUUCUUGAGUAUGGGAGAGGAGAGUGGAAUCCCAGUGUAGAGGUGAAAUUCGUAGAUAUUGGGAGGAACACCCGUGGCGAAGGCGACUCUCUGGACCAAUACUGACGCUGAGACGCGAAAGCGUGGGGAGCAAACAGGAUUAGAUACCCUGGUAGUCCACGCCGUAAACGAUGAGAACUAGGUGUAGCGGGUAUUGACCCCUGCUGUGCCGCAGCUAACGCAUUAAGUUCUCCGCCUGGGGAGUACGGCCGCAAGGCUAAAACUCGAAGGAAUUGACGGGGGCCCGCACAAGCGGUGGAGCAUGUGGUUCAAUUCGACGCAACGCGAAGAACCUUACCUGGGUUUGACAUCCUCUGACAGCCCCGGAAACGGGGUCUUCCCUGCUUGCAGGCACAGAGUGACAGGUGCUGCAUGGCUGUCGUCAGCUCGUGUCGUGAGAUGUUGGGUUAAGUCCCGCAACGAGCGCAACCCUUGUCUUUAGUUGCCCAUAUUCGGUUAGGCACUCUAGAGAUACUGCCUCGGUUAACGGGGAGGAAGGUGGGGACGACGUCAAGUCAUCAUGGCCUUUAUAUCCAGGGCUACACACGUGCUACCAUGGGCCGGUACAAAGAGUUGCUAGUCCGCGAGGAGGAGCUAAUCUCAAAAAGCCGCUCUCAGUUCGGAUCGGAGUCUGCAACUCGACUCCGUGAAGUUGGAAUCGCUAGUAAUUGUGGAUCAGAUGUCCACGGUGAAUACGUUCCCGGGCCUUGUACACACCGCCCGUCACACCACGAAAGUUGGCUGUACCAGAAGCUGCUGGGCUAACCC
rnacentral:rRNA from 1 species